GAGUGGUGGAGUAACCCUACCGAAAGGAGGGCUAAUACAGCAUAAGACCACGGCGUCCUCGGAUGUCGCGGCCAAAGCGGGCCGUCUUCAUGAAAGCUCGUGCUCGGGGAGUGAGCCCGCGGCCCAUCAGCUUGUUGGCGAGGUAAAAGCUCACCAAGGCAAAGACGGGUAGCUGGUCUGAGAGGAUGAACAGCCACACUGGAACUGAGACACGGUCCAGACUCCUACGGGAGGCAGCAGUGGGGAAUCUUGCGCAAUGGGCGAAAGCCUGACGCAGCGACGCCGCGUGAGCGAUGAAGGCCCUCGGGUCGUAAAGCUCUGUGGGGAGGAAAGAAUAAGGGUAGGUUAAUAUCCUGCCUGAUGACGGUACCUCCUUAGCAAGCACCGGCUAACUCUGUG
rnacentral:rRNA from 1 species